rnacentral:lncRNA from 1 species
CGAAACGAGCGUAGCUUCCUUGUCGUGUGGCCUCAGUCCUUCGCCGUCCCUCGCCGUCCUUCGCCAUCGCACGCCACCGCACCCCAUCUCUCGAAAUCUGCAGACAUCUUGAUUUUUCCCACGCUGUCUGUCAGGUCUCCGCCGCCACUCGACGCCAGGGCGCCGGGCCUUGUGGGCUGUGCUGCACCUCGGACGGCUUCGCACCAGCCAGCGCCCUCUCUCUCCUGCAGCACUCUGAUCUGCACCCCCUGAGGGGCUUCCACUGUCCGCGGGGUGAGAAUGCCCCUGGGAGUGUCACAUGACUGCCGCCCCAUGUGUGUGAGAGGCGUCCUCUGGGAGAGCAUGGAUCCUGAGGUCCCAGGAUUGUCAGCUGACCUCUGUCCUGUGUGCCCAGUGGCCCCAGGUGACGUGUCUUCAAGAAGAGGCUGAGCUGCGGUGCUUGUAAGGCAGGGUCUCAUUCUGUCACCCAGGCUGGAGUGCAGUGGUGCAAUGAUGGCUCACUGCAGCCUCGACCUGGGCUCAAGUGAUCCUCCACCUCAGCUUCCUGAGUAGCUGGGACCACAGAGUCAUGUGCUGUUCCUGGGGCUUGGAUGAUGUAGGGGAAGCAAGGUGAAAGUGGUAUCCCGUGGUUCCACGUUCUGUCCUGCUGUGGGGCUGUCCCUCACAUGCUUUCAGUGGCUGUUGCAGAGGAAGAGCCUCCGGAAAUCUGCGUGGGUCUCAGCCUUAGAUCCAAGGACAGUCCAAGGAAGUCCUAAGACCAUGGAGUUGGUGAUCUGGGAUCUGGGUUUGCUGAUAUUUCUCACCGUGAAUCUCUUGGUGGUGUUUGUGGGCACGAGAGGGGCAGAGAAUGGAGAGUGAGGCUACCACAUGAAGCGUCACCAGAGCUGCUCCCUGCUGCCUGCUCAGAGCACCCCGGAUCCACUGUUCAAUCUGCACAAGAUUCGGGGUCCAGACAUGGGAGACUUCAGCUGCCUCAGAGGACCGUGGACAGGGAAGGCCAGCCUCGCAUCCCUCUGUCCAUGCCUGGAAUGACUUUAAUAACCAAGAGUUUUAUUUUUGAAUUUGUAGCUGUCGUUCACUUUUUACCCACCCAUUCAAUAAACCUUACAGAAUUGC